rnacentral:rRNA from 1 species
UACGUAGGGGGCAAGCGUUGUCCGGAUUUAUUGGGCGUAAAGAGCGUGUAGGCGGCCAUGCAGGUCAGCCUGUGAAAACUCGAGGCUCAACCUCGAGACGUCGGUUGAAACCGUAUGGCUAGAGUCCGGAAGAGGAGAGUGGAAUUCCCGGUGUAGCGGUGAAAUGCGCAGAUAUCGGGAAGAACACCUAUGGCGAAGGCAGCUCUCUGGGACGGUACUGACGCUGAGACGCGAAAGCGUGGGGAGCAAACAGG